rnacentral:rRNA from 1 species
AUUGAACGCUGGCGGCAGGCUUAACAAAUGCAAGUCGAGCGAGCGGCGGACGGGUGAGUAAUGUCUGGGAAACUGCCUGAUGGAGGGGGAUAACUACUGGCAACGAUAGCUAAUACCGCCUACUAUACGAUGGGCCCAGAAGGGAUUAGCUAGUAGGUGGGGUAAUGGCUGACCUAGGCGACGAUCCCUAGCUGGUCUGAGAGGAGGACCAGCCACACUGGAACUGAGACACGGUCCAGACUCCUACGGGAGGCAGCAGUGGGGAAUAUUGCACAAUGGGCGCAAGCCUGAUGCAGCCAUGCCGCGUGUGUGAAGAAGGCCUUCGGGUUGUAAAGCACUUUCAGCUAGGAGGCGUUACUCGCAGAAGAAGCACCGGCUAACUCCGUGCCAGCAGCCGCGGUAAUUC